rnacentral:lncRNA from 1 species
GGAAAUGACAACAGAUGCAAAGAGCACAAAAACAAUAUUUGAUAGGAAAAAUUCUCACUGUUCUUCAACAUAGUCACCAUCAGUUGCUGCGCAUUUUCACCAGUGAUGAACAAGAGCCUGCAUGCCACACUCAUAAAAAUCUGCACCAGUAGAGGGGACCCGCUGUGGCCACUGCUGAAUCGCAGCACCCAACACCUCACUGUGCUCACAUCCGCUGUUGGGUGUGUCUCCAUAAACAUUCAGCAAGCACUGAGGAAUGUCAAUGGGUGCCAUUUUUAAUGUGUGGAGGAAUUCAGUUCCACCCCUUUGCAUCACACACGUUUCCGCAUCAGGCAUCAUUGUGUCAUAGUACCCCUCUGCUGCCAUCUGUCACAUGGCAACAAAAAUGGAAUAUUGGUGGGAAGGUUCAGCCUCUACUGCCAUCCCACCAGUAUUCAUUGUGGGCCAAAAUAAUAAAAUAGGAGGCCUUACUUUCAGAGCAGCCCUUGUUCAUGAAGUUCUGAAACAGUAAUCAGCUUGAGUAUCGGUACCAUUUACACUCAUGACUGAUUUUGAAAAUGAGCACUCCCUAUUACAUGAGCCCUGUUACGUGGAUGAAACAUCUGUUGAGAAGGCUUCCUGCACGGGUAUCAACAUCAAAGACUCCUGGAGAGACUGGAAGGCUUGAACUCAAAGAAGAGGAGGACAGGAAUCAAAUUCCUGCUGAUGAGAUGUCAUCUAAAUGCUUCUUCAAGCCAAAGCGCUGCUCUCAAACAUGCUUCUAGCACCAGGGUUGAGGCUCUGAAACAUUACCUCAAGAUAACUGCAGACAACUCACGGGGAUGGCUUGAAGCAUUACUUUGUGAAUAGAUGAGCAAAUCUAUUUAACAAAUAAUCAAAGGACAAUACAAAUAGGCACACGAGCACAACUAUCAAAGAAUUUGAAAGAUAACUGUUCUGCGACCUUCUGCUACUGAGAUGGAGACUAAAUCUUAGUUGUAACUGCAGAUAAAGUUUGAUUCUUGUGCUGAUGCUUCUUUCCUUUACUUAUCCCAAAGAACCACCACAAAGAUCUUGUUCCAUAGCCCACAGUUUUGCAAUCAGUCUUUGGAAUUAUAACACCCACGGAAUGCAAGGAGAUCAGAUACCAUCAAAAAUUUCAUAAAAACUAAUGAUUAAAGU